UUUGUUGAAGUUACUCCAGUCGCGUUUUGAACGUGUACCAGGAAGGAGAAUCGAACGAAUUUUCCACGCGGUGAGUCCAGUUUCCAGUUAACAUUGGCCGAUGAUUCGGAAAGUAGUGUUAACUUUGAUCUGCAUAUUUCAAAAAAGUACCCAACUAUCAGUAGCUACUGAAAGACCAAUAUCAUUGGAAAUUUAUCGAACUCCGUAACUCUGACAUUUCUCCGUGAGCAGUGGCUCUCAAAUUGUUAUUACGGUGCCUGGUUCAUCGCAUUACUCAUUUAACUUCCGACCACGAAGGACAGGACUUGCAUGGAAUCGCACGAUACGUUUACAGGUUCUCGGGGAU